rnacentral:rRNA from 1 species
UACACUUGGUUGUCCAAAACCUUCUUGGAGUGCAUGGACGGACUUGCUCCGAUGAACAUAAUAAUAGACCGGGAUUUUAGCAUGAGUGAAGGCAUAGAGGAGGUCUUUCCGUUGGCGGUGCACAAGCACUGCAGGUGGCAUAUUAUUAAGAAGGAUGGAGAGACGUUAGGACCAUUCUUUGCUGACCGUCCAGAGCUACACAAGGCAUUCAAUUUGUGUGUGGAACAUAGCUUGACGGUGGAGGAGUUUGAACGGAGUUGGACGGCUAUGAUUGAAACAUACCAAGUACAAGACAAUGAGACACUUUAG